rnacentral:rRNA from 1 species
AUUCAACGCUGGCGGCAGGCCUAACACAUGCAAGUCGGGCGGAUGAAGGGAGCUUGCUCCUGGAUUCAGCGGCGGACGGGUGAGUAAUGCCUAGGAAUCUGCCUGGUAGUGGGGGAUAACGUCCGGAAACGGGCGCUAAUACCGCAUACGUCCUGAGGGAGAAAGUGGGGGAUCUUCGGACCUCACGCUAUCAGAUGAGCCUAGGUCGGAUUAGCUAGUUGGUGGGGUAAAGGCCUACCAAGGCGACGAUCCGUAACUGGUCUGAGAGGAUGAUCAGUCACACUGGAACUGAGACACGGUCCAGACUCCUACGGGAGGCAGCAGUGGGGAAUAUUGGACAAUGGGCGAAAGCCUGAUCCAGCCAUGCCGCGUGUGUGAAGAAGGUCUUCGGAUUGUAAAGCACUUUAAGUUGGGAGGAAGGGCAGUAAGUUAAUACCUUGCUGUUUUGACGUUACCAACAGAAUAAGCACCGGCUAACUUCGUG